rnacentral:lncRNA from 1 species
UCAAAUCAAGAAAACUACAAAUCGAAUUAAAAUCAUCCAUCAUAUAACAUCACAUAAUAUAUCUCCCAGGUUUACAUAAUACAAUAACUCAUCUCAUGAAUACAUUUCCUUACACAUGAAUAUAGCAAGAACGCACAAGAUUGCACAAUAAAACAAUGGCACAUCUACUACUAUCCCAAUAUUACAAUGGACUUCAUUCACUCUCCU